rnacentral:misc_RNA from 1 species
GUGAAUCAUCGAAUUUUUGAACGCACAUUGCACUCUCUGGUAUUCCGGAGAGUAUGCCUGUUUGAGGGUCAGUUUAAAUAACAACCGGUGUGUUUGCUUCCUUUCGUGGUGACUCACCGGAUUUGGGUCGUCUUGCCUGCGGUUAUGUUACCUUAAUUUUUGCAUGAUUUUUUGCGAACGUAUUUAAAUGAUUUUACUUCAAUUUAGGUAUU